GCGCGCUUAGCUCAGUUGGGAGAGCGCUACCUUGACAGGGUAGAGGUCACUGGUUCGACCCCAGUAGCGCGCACCA
rnacentral:tRNA from 1 species